CUGGGGCCCAGUGGUGGUGCACACAAUUGAGAGCACAUAUUACAAUGCUCAAGGAUCUGGGUUCAAGCCCUGGUCUCCAGUUGCAGUGAGGGGAGCUUCACAAGCAGUGGAGAAAGACUGCAGUGUGAACUGAUGACAAUACCUAUCUUAUUGGGCUCUUGUGAGGAUCAGGACUCCCUACCUUGUUCACGGCUGUGUCCCUGGGUGGAGGGCAGAUGCUCGGCAUUUGCAAGAUCCUGGAAUGACUCUGGAUGCCUGGCCUGCACUUGCACUUUACUCUGUCAUCUCAGCUGUUAUCUCAUCGGAUCCUUGCGCUAGUCCUGAGAGGUAGGUCUGCUAACCCCAUUUCACAGAUGAGGAAAUUGCGGCUCAGAGAGGAAGUGACUCGCCCAGGGUCAAAGAGCUACAACCCCAGAUCUGAAGCUGCAAAUGACUCUAGCUCUGCAGCCCACAGAGAGGAUAGUGGGGAAAUAGUAGGAACCCUGGUUGAUAGAGCCUCCUACCCCCAUGACCUGCUUCUGAGGAGCACAGAAGUCUUCUGAAGUGGUCAGGAUGGAUGGUAUUAUUGGCUUCAGGGGAGAGAGUCACAGCUUCUAAGACAGACCAUGGAACCCUCAGGAGCUUCUUUUUUAAAUGUUUCCUUUUAUCUUUUUUUUUUUUUCUUCCAAUUUUAAAAAAAAUGUAUAGGACAAAGAGAAAUGGGGGGGAGAU